UACAGGGGGUGCAAGCGUUAAUCGGAAUUACUGGGCGUAAAGCGUGCGUAGACGGUUAUUUAAGUCGGGUGUGAAAGCCCCGGGCUCAACCUGGGAAUUGCAUUCGAGACUGAAUAGCUAGGGUGCGGAAGAGGGAAGCGGAAUUUCCGGUGUAGCGGUGAAAUGCGUAGAUAUCGGAAGGAACACCAGUGGCGAAAGCGGCUUCCUGGUCCAGCACCGACGUUCAGGCACGAAAGCGUGGGGAGCAAACAGG
rnacentral:rRNA from 1 species